UAGAGCAUUCGGCACUUACCCACAUCACAAUGUUGCAGUCUUAAGCGUUAUCUUACCGAAAUCAGCAUCGAAAAAAAAUUCAUUGGUGUCACACAAAGGAGAAUUUGCUUGUCUGCACAGCUAUCAUUUAUUUACCAGCGAGUAUUUAUUGGACUCUUACUAUGUCACAGGCACUGUUCUAGGCUUUGAGAAUCCAACCAUGAACAAAACACGAUAGGUCUUCCCAUGCGUUUACAUUCUAGUGGCAGAAGAAGGACCGUGAACAGUCUACAGCACCGAGAAUGAUUCUGUGUCAAGUCCCAGGUCUCUGGGCACAAAUUCCAGUUACCUGAUAGGAGAUGAUAAACUCAGCACGUCGGCAGGAACAUUCAAUCUGAGUGCCUGCCAUACUCUCCCUGUGAAUUCUGGUAUAUACCGUCCGUCAGGCUCCGGGCUCCAUUCAACCCUGGGAUACCGACAAGACCAAAGCACUGGUUCUGCGUUCCAUCUGCCAUGAGGCCCAGAUGGAAGGAGAGAUCCAUCUGCACAUUCACGGAUAGGACUUGCUGUCUGCCAUUCAAUAGAUUCACUCCUUGGAACCAAGGCAUUUUCCCAGAGGCUGUUAACAGGAAGAUAUUAGCCCAUUAUUGCCUGGGUAAUAUAUUAACUCCUUACCAAUGCAGUAGCACAGUAGUGCAGGCAAAUUACAGGAUUGCUUUUGUCUGAGCCCAGAAGGGAGGCCUGCUUUUUAGAAAGGUGAGAGGCCUGGAGCCACCCUCUGGGGGUCCGGGCACUGGAAAACCAUGAUAGGAACAGCGUUUACUAUUGAUGGAAUGAAUGAACACACUACGUUUCUAAUUUCUCAAUCUCCAUAAUUCUGUAAGGUGAUUAUUGUUCCCAUUUUGCAGAUGAUGAAACUAAGUUUCAGUUAGGUUCUGAAAUUUGCUCAUUUAGGGUCACAUGGCUAACUAGGUCGGUGAACUAGAAUUUUAACCAACCCAAACCUGAUGCCAAUGCCUUUUUCUAAAUGACUACAUGGUAAUUAAGCCUUGCUCCCUGGACCCCCUGUGCGCUGCUAGGUCCUGCUGCUCCCUAGAGUAGUCAUAUCCCAGAAGGAGGUUAUUCUCUCAAAUCUUUCUCAUGGUUGUUUGGCUUGGCCUGGGAAUGGAAGCUCCUGGAAGAGACGAAGUAUACAGAACCAAGGAAGGGAAGGUCUGCUGGGAAGAAGCCUGAACCAGGACAGCAGGGAUUGAAGAUGGGAGCCCUGGGAGGCUCUGUCCUUAUUCACCCCUCCCCCGCAGAGGGUCUCCUAGGCCCUGCAACAUCCUGCUUUUGUCCCCAACCUGUCUCAGGACCCUAGGAACAGUCCUUCUCCUACUCUGGUGCUGAGAAACCUCAGGACUUCCUCAUCCUGCUCUGGGACACUGUCCAGGGCCUCAGCCUACUAGCCUGGGGCUCCCACCCUGGGUUUAAUUCCAGCAACCCUAAUGCUCUCCAAUCCCCGGCUGAGACGCCAGGCCAGGGUACAGCCUGCAGAGCUUAUUCAUGUGCGGUAGCUGCCCAGUGACC